CAAAAACAUUGCUUUCUGAAAAAAAUAGAAAGUAUCUCCUGCCCGGUGACCAAUUUAACGGCCGCGGUAUCCUAACCGUGCAAAGGUAGCAUAAUCACUUGCCUAUUAAUUGUAGGCUAGAAUGAAGGGAUGAACGAAGUAAACCCUGUCUCAACUAAAAAACUAAAAAUUACACUCUAAUUGAAGAAUAUUAGAUAAAGUCGAAGGACAAGAAGACCCUAUAGAGCUUUAUUUAUCCAACAAUUUAUUGUCAAAAAUUUGAUUGGGGCGAUCAAGGAUAUAAUAAUCAUCCUUUAUUAAAAGACAAAUUAGUCACACAAACUGAUCCUUUAUUAAGAUCAAGAGAAAAGCUACCUUAGGGAUAACAGGCUAAUUUUAUUAUAGAGUUCUUAUCAAUAAUAAAGAUUGGCACCUCGAUGUUGGCUUAGGACACUCAAUACGGCGCAAAAGUCAUAAAAGAUGGUUUGUUCAACCAAUAAUCUCCUACGUGAUCUGA
rnacentral:rRNA from 1 species